UCCGCAUUAUCUGUUGCCCACACACACUCUCUCUCUCUCCCCCCACUAAGGCCACGACUGGACCACGCGAUUCUUCCAUUCUUCCCUCCAAUUGCAUGCUCCCCGAAUUGAAAAGAAAAUUUAUGGGGUUUGGGUUUCCAUCUCCCAAUGAAGCAUCCCUUCUUUGAUUAAUCACUGUCAACAAGUUCCAGUUUCACAACCCUCUUGGUGGAAAGUCGACGAGAUUUAUGAACUGAUUGAAUUUCUGAGCUUAGUUAGCUUUAUUUCUUGGUGAAACACCCACUCUCCAUCUGUCAAAUGUCCAGGGGAAAACCACGCGAAACCCGAAGUUUUUAUUGAUCUGUAGAUGAAUCAGUUUUGUUUGCAAUCGAUUUAUUUCUUUCUUCUAGACCCCACAGGCAGCUUUCAAUCUCCAUUUUCGCACCUCUCUACAAUCGAUCCUCUUUCCGUAUUAAACGUGGCCCAAACCCCUCAGAACCGUGACCCACUUGCAGUUCUUGGCAUCUUCUCUCUCUCGUCAUCUCCUCUUCCGAGCUCUGACCCCUUUCCUUCCCCAAAACCCAUCUCCCAGUGGUUGGGAACAAUCCGACAAUCUUCAGCACAAUGACCCAGUUGGAGUUUUUCAAGAAAUUCAAGCGCUCAGCCCCUCCCGAGCCAUCACUGCGCAUUCUUGUUUUCUUCCUAUUCUCUAUUUGCUUCAUUCUCUGCUUCUUUUACUUUGAUUAUCGAGUUGUAACCAGAGGGUUCAGCUCCCUCGCCCACUCGGGCUAUGUUGCGUUGUUUGGCUUUAAUGAAACCGCUGUUUCGAUCAGCGAGUUCAGCCUGCCGGAGUUUCUGGAAAAGGGCGGCGAUGGCUGCGAUUUGUUUGAAGGUAACUGGGUUUGGGAUGAUAGUUAUCCUCUGUAUCGCUCUGAAGAUUGCUUGUUUGUAGACCAAGGCUUUCGGUGUUCUGAGAAUGGCCGGCCUGAUAAUUUCUACACCAAGUGGCGUUGGCAACCCAAAAAUUGCAACUUACCCAGAUUUGAUGCAAAGAACAUGCUGGAAAGGCUGCGGAACCGCCGACUUGUGUUUGUUGGUGACUCUAUUGGGAGAAAUCAAUGGGAGUCCCUUCUUUGCAUGCUUUCUCCUGGGGUUCAUGAUAACACUUCUAUUUUUGAAAUUAAUGGAAAUCCAAUUACAAAGCACACGGGUUCCUUGGUGUUCGUGUUUAGGGAUUUCAACUGCACAAUUGAGUACUACCGAUCUCCAUAUCUAGUUCAGCAGGUUCGGGCACCGGCUGGUGCUCCAGCAAAGGUGAAGACCACUUUGAAACUGGAUCAGUUGGAUUGGAGCUCCACACAGUGGAAAGGAGCAGAUGUGCUGGUUUUCAAUGCGGGGCAUUGGUGGAAUUACGAGAAAACCAUAAGAGGGGGUUGCUACUUUCAAGAAGGGAAGGAAGUGAAGAUGGAAAUGAGCAUAGAGAGUGCAUUUCAGAGGUCAAUCGAGACAUUGAUUCAGUGGAUAGACAAUGAAGUAAACUUGAGCAAAACCCAGGUCAUCUUUCGGAGCUAUGCCCCUGUACACUUCAGGGAAUGUGUAAAAGUUUUAUAAAGAAAUCUUCUCUGCCCCUAAAUCUCAUUGCUGCAAUGAGGAUUGUUAGAGAACUCUGUACCAUGUGUGCAUUUUUUGCCUGGCAGAGCUGGAGGUAACUUGGUUUUCUUCUUGGGAAAUCAACAUAAAACAUUACUGCAGGUUUAUUUCUGAUUCAUGUCUAGAAGCUAAAAAGAAUUUUGGAUCCCGUGAGACACUAAUGAUGGAUGAUAGCAAAUGUAUGGCAUUAACCUUUCUACAGGAUAAUAAGCCGUUAUUCACCAACAUGAAAAAUUGUCUCCAAGCAUUCAACAAUUGAAGAGCUUUAAUUGGGAAGCAAACAGUUAAUGAAAGGAAGGAACAAAAUUUCAUCGUAACAAGGUACUGCUCAUAGCUGAACUGUACAAACAUGAGUGCAGAGUGAACUGCAAUCUGGAAAUGGAGAUUUUAACAGUUUCUUAGGCAGGUGCUGCAAUAUGAACUGGAUUUUUUUUUUAUAAUUUCAUAAAGCAUGGAUAUAGGCUGGUCUCUAGAAUAUGUGUUAAAGGUGGUUUGGGUAUGUGAGAUGAUGAUAAGUAGACACUCCUAAGGAUAGUGGAUGGAAUGGCCAAGCUUGUAGCAAAAAAGUUAAAGACGGAUACAAUAACCUCUUACAAAAGAUGUGCUUACGGAUCAAGAUGAUUACAAGCUAAAUCCAUGCAGCCAACCUACCUCGGAUUAAGGUUUGGUGUUUAAGCAUGGCUAUAAGCAAGCAUUGGGCAAUGAAUGGAUACCAUCGCUACAGGUCUUUUUAUUGGAUUAACCCCGUAGUUGCUGAGGGUUCGCAUGCUGAUAUUUGGAUUGCAUGGACCACUUAAACCUGGCAAUUCAUUUAUAGAAGCAAUCAUCUUCGUAGGAAAAGCCGUCUUUGUUUCUUUGUUUUCCUUGCUCUCUCUUUCCAAUGAGAGUAUUUCAUACUCAACUGGUAAUCUAGGUUCUCGCAUUGGUUCCCGCAACGGUGUGGGGACUCUAGUUAUGAGUUCUUCUCUAUUUGAUUUUUUUAUAUUGGCGUUUCUCUUGUUUUUUAUUGUGUAACCUCUUUAUUUAUCUAAUGUAGUCUAUUUGGGACAAAUUAUUUAAAAGAUUUUAAUAAGAGCCCAUCCCAAAUGUAACUGAAAGCCACAAGCUACAUGAGAAAGUGAUGGUGGUGAAGCACCAAACGAUGUCGUGCAGCUUUGCUGAGUGGAUGGUUGCAUGUGGCAACUGCAAGUUGCCAUGUGACACCUGUUGAAUGGUAACAUGCAGCAACCAUCAGCUAUUCCUUUGAGACGCCCGAUUGUCUUUUUCUCGAUUGCUCUCUCUACCUGUUUGCCUUUCUGUUGGAAUAAUUGAUCGUGUUGCACGAUCUGAUCUCAGCCGUUCAUCCAAGCUUUAUGAGAUGCAAUCCCAGCCAUCCAUUGACGUUUUUAAUCUCACUCUUCGGGAUAUGAAUCGUCGGACAAAAAGAAAGAAAAGAAAAGGGGGGGAAAGAAAGAGAAAGAUCGAGAGGGUUUUCGCCUUGGCUUUGGGCUAGGGUUUUUUGGUGGGUUUCUCUUCCGCAUUCUCUGUAAUUGCUCUUUAUAGAUUUAUUUUGUUCUCUGGUUCGAUAAGAUUCGCCUCUAAUCUGUAUUAGUGAUUUUGGGGCAUUUUUGUUAGCGAAUCAUUGUUGUACAGAGAGUAUUUGUGAGGGUUUGAGGGUGUAAUCUCCGAUUUAUCUCUUUAGUGCAAUGAGCUAUUCUCACCAGAGCUUAAUGUGGACGUAGCCUUAUUUUAGGUGAAUCACGGUAAAAAUCAUUGUCUCCCUUUCUUGUUUCGUUUCUGUUUUCAUUUCAUCUGUGUAUGUUUGUUAUUGUACUUCCUGUCUUUGCUAUCUUCAAUAUGUGAUUGAACGUAUACUGUUAUUACCCUAAAGUUUGUGUUAUCAGUUCUCAAUAGUGGUAUCAGAGCCAUGUUAAGAUUGGCUCUUAGGGUUUUGUAAGUUCAAUCGAUUUUUCUUUCAAAUCUUGGGUUGUCGUCAGUUUGUGGGUGGUCUAGGGUUUUUGAGAGUGCUUGUUAGCAAGUGUUUGUUGUGUUGGUCUCCGUCAGUGUUUAGAGCCCCUUAGGUUACCUUCGUGCAAGGUGAAGAUAAUGUCUCCCCGAUUUGAAAUCGGUAUAUUUGAUAGUAAAGGAAACUUCAGAAGUUGGAAAAAGAAAAUGAGUGUUUCUCUCUCAUCAUAAAGUGCUGAUAGCACUUGAGGCGGAUGAUCGAAAAUGGUCCGCUGAUCAACUUGCAAGAAUCGAUGAGAUCAGAGAGGAAGCCUUUAAUCUGAUCUUCAUUCAUUUUGGUGACAAUGUAAUUCGAAAGGUAGAUGGUAUGUCUAAUCCUCUAGACCUCUGGAAUAAGUUAGAUUCAUUGUUUUCUGUUAUAAUUGCACUUAAUUUAGUUUACUUGAAAGGCAUGCUGUUUAACUUUAAAAUGAAUACAUCUAAGUUAAUGGAUGAGAACAUAGACGAAUUUACUAGGCUUGCAUUAUUACUUAGAGGUACUAAUCAAGCAUUAGGUGACACUAGUGAAGUUAUGAUUAUGUUAAAUUCAUUACUUGAUGACUAUGAGGUUGUUAAGCAUGCAUUGAGAUAUAUUGGCAUUGUACCUAGUAUGGAUCUUGUAAUUUCGGGCAUUAAGGCUAGGGAACUGGAGUUAAGUACAUCUAAAAAAUUAGGAAAUAAUUUGUUUGUAAAAGGUAAGAAUGAGAAAAAACACUUUAUAAGUAACAUUGAUUAAUCUGGUAGGUCAAGGCAAAAGGGUAAAAAGAAAGAUAAGAAGGGUAGGCAAAAAUGGAAAUGCUAUCACUAUGGAAAAGAGGGACACAUUAAAAAGUAUUGCCAUGAUUUUAUCAGAAAACAAAAACAAGGGGGAAAUACUAAUACAACUGCUAACAACUCAAAUUGCUAACAACUCAAAUUGCUUGGCUGAAGUACUUACUGUUUCUGAUUUUUCUGUUGAUAAUGAAUGGAUUAUGGAUUGGGGUUGCUCUUUUCAUAUGUGUCCUAAUAUUGAUUGGUUUCAAAAUUUUAACAAAGACACUGGAAUUGUGUACAUGGGUAACAACUAUUCCUGUAGUGUUAAAGGCAUAGGUAAUAUAUCUCUUAAAUUGCAUGACAACAAAACUAGAACCUUAACUGAUGUAAGAUAUGUUCCUGGCUUGAAAAGAAACUUGAUAUCUCUUGGCACUUUAGAUGAGCUAGAGUUUUCUUAGAGAGCAGAAAAUGGGUCUAUGCAUGUGUUUAAAGGAGAUGAAUUAAUCCUAACGGGUGUUAAGAAAAAUGAAUUAUAUGUUUUGAAUGGUUGUUAUUUUUCCUCUGUUAAUAUGUAUUCUGCAUGGAUUGCUAAAAUCGAUAAGACAGAAUUAUGGCACCUGAGACUUGACCAUAUGAGCCUGAAAGGUCUUCAAGCACUGUCUAACCAAGGUUACCUUGGAUCAGUGCCUGUUGGAUCCCUCGAUUUUUGUGAGCCAUGUGUUCUAGGAAAGCAACACAGGUUGAAUUUCCAUAAAGAAACUCACCUAACGAAGGUAUGCCUAGAAUAUAUUCAUGUAGACUUGUGGGGGCUUUCUCAGGUCCCUACUCACGGGGGUAACAGGUAUUUUCUAUCUAUAGUAGAUGAUUUCACUAGGAAGGUCUGCGUUUUUCUAUUAAAAUCUAAAGAUCAAACUCUAGAGAAGUUUAAAACUUGGAAGAACAUAGUUGAAAAUCAAAUAGAUAGAAAGAUUAAAGUCUUAAGAACAGACAGUGGUCUGGAAUUCUGUAACAAGGAAUUUGAUGAAUUUUGCAAUACCCAGGGAAUACUUAGGCAUAGAACUGUUAGGUAUACACCCCAGUAAAAUGGGGUAGCUGAAAGAAUAAAUCGAACCCUACUUGAAAAAGUUAGGUGCCUUUAGCAUGCCUAAGUUCUUUCAACUGCUGCCCAUUUAGUAAACAAAAGUCCUUCAACUGCCCUGAGGAAAUAUGGACUGGUAGGAAAUUAAAUCUUAAUUACCUUAGAAUGUUUGGUUGUGAAGCUUAUACUCACAAGUCAUAAGGUAAAUUAGAACCUAGGUCCACUAAGUGUGUGUUUGUUGGUUACCAAGAAGGGACCAAAGGCUUUAGAUUAUGGGAAAGACAAUCUGGUGGUGUCAUAUUUAAUGAAGCCAUUUUCCCUUGUAAAAUUCAAAACAUAGAAGAAACCAACAUUCUAAGAAAAUCAAAUGAUUAUGUUAUCUUAGGAGUGUCUCAAAUUGAGGUAGAGCAAGCUGCAGGAAAUAACAACUUGCCAGCUGCUCCCACUGCAAUAGAACCUGAUCUAGAAGGUGUGCCCUUGCCUAUGUCUAAUGAGAAUCACACCUCUGAUCAUGAUGAUGAUCAAGAGGAACAAGAAGAUGACCCUGACAUUGAGGUGGAGUAUCAUGGCUCACCUCAAGAUUUCAGUGACUAUUGGCUAGUCCGUGAUAGGAGCAGGAGGGUUACUAGAUCUCCUGCAAGGUAUGCCUAUUCAGACCUAGUUUAUUGUGCCCUAGUUGCAGGGAUAGAAUUAAGGAGUGGUGAGUGAGCCUUCCACUUAUGAGGAGGCUGUCAGCUCCAGGGAAUGCACAAAGUGGCAGCAGGCUAUAGAUGAGGAAAUGACCUCUCUUAAAGCUAAUGGUACUUGGAAAUUGGUCCCUCGACCACAGAAACAAAAACUGAUCCAGUGUAAAUAGUUGUACAAAUUAAAGGAAUGUAUGUCUCUUACUAACCCAAUUAAGUAUAAAACAAGAUUAGUGGCUAAGGGGUUCACUCAGAGGGUGGGCAUAGACUACACUGAAAUUCUCUCCUGUAGUUACAUUUAAAACAAUCCGCAUGAUACUUGCUGUUGUUGUUCAAUUUGAUUUUGAACUAGAAUAAUUAGACGUUAAAACAACAUUCUUGCAUGGAGACUUAGAGGAAAAAAUUUAUAUGGUUCAACCUACUGGAUAUAUUGACUCUGAUAAGUCAGAGCAUGUUUGUUUACUGAAAAAAUUCUUAUAUGGCCUAAAGCAAUCUCCGAGACAAUAGUAUAAAAAAUUUGAUAAUUUUAUUCUAGGGAUUGGGUUUAUUAGGAGUUGAUAUGAUAACUAUUUUUAUUUUAUUCUCUCUAAUAUCCCUGUUUACCUAUUGUUAUAUGUGAAUGAUAUCCUGUUAAUUAGCAAGUCUAAGUCUAAGAUCAAUGAAUUAAAACAAAUGCUCAACACAAACUUUGAUAUGAAAGACUUAGGGUUACCUAAGAAAAUUUUAGGAAUGAUAAUAGAGAGGGAUAGAGGCAACUUCAGCUUAAAGGUUCAUCAAAAUGACUAUUUAAUGAAAGCUGUUAAAAAAUUUGAUAUGCACAAUUGCAAGUCAAUGAGUGUUCCAUUAGCCGGACAUUUUGUCCUAACUAAAUCUCAAAGCCCAACAUCUAACUCAGAAAUUAUUAAAAUGGAAAAUAUUCCAUAUGUUAAUGCAAUUGGAACCAUUAUGUAUGCCAUGAUUAGUACUAGACCUGAUCUAGCUUAUGCUAUUUCCUCCCUUAGUAGAUUCAUGUCAAAUCCUGGUAAACCUCAUUGGGAUGCACUUAAAUAUUUACUAAAACAUAUAAAUGGUUCUGUAAAUAUUGGACUGAGCUAUAAGAAAAGAUAUAAUACUCUUGAUCUUGUUAGGUAUGUAGAUUCUGACUUUGCAGGUGAAAAAGGCACUCGAAAGUCCACUACAGCUCUGUUUUUCACCUUGUGUGGAAACUUCAUCAGCUGGAAAUCACAGUUGCAGCCUUUGGUUGCGCUGUCUUCUACUGAGGUUGAGUAUGUAGCAGUGACCAAUACUUUCAAAGAGGCUGUGUGGCUUCAAGGCCUUAUUUAGGAGAUCCACCUGCUUCAAAGCAAGGUGGCGGUGUAUUCAGACAACCAAAGUGUGAUUCAUUUGUCCAAGAAUCCAGUCUACCAUGAACGCACAAAACACAUGGAUGUCAUGUAUUAUUAUGUUAAGAGAUUUAGUAGCUAAUGAUACUAUAAUUAUACUGAAGGUGCUUACAAAAAACAACCCAGUAGAUAUGGGUACAAAGGUACUAACUGUAACAAAGUUCAAGCAUUGCUUGAACUUGUUGCAUGUGGGUAUUGGUUGAUCAGAUCAGCCAGAGCUGUGAAGGUGAGAAUUGUAGCAUGUUGCACUGUGUGAGAAUUUUGGGGGUUCACCUAUGGUUUGAUGCUUCAAGGUGGAGAUUGAUGGUGGUGAAGCACCAACGAUGUCGUGUGGCUUUGUUGAGUGGAUGGCCAUGUGUGGCAACCGCAGGUUGCCAUGUGGCACCUGUUGGAUGGUAACACGCGGCAACCAUCAGCUGUUCCUUUGAGGUGCCCGAUUGUCCUUUUCUCGAUUGCUUUGUCUGCCCGUUUGCCUUUCUGUUGGAAUAAUCGAUCGUGUUGCAUGAUCUGAUCUCAGUUGUUCAUCCAAGCUUUAUGAGAUGCAAUCCCAGCUAUCCAUCGACGUUUUUAAUCUCACUCAUUCGGAUAUGAACCAUCAGAUGAAAAGAAAGAAAAGAAAAUGAGGGAAAGAAAGAGAAAGAUCGAGAGGGUUUUCGCCUUGGCUUCAAGCUAGGGUUUUUUUGUGGGUUUCUCUUCCUCAUUCUCUGUAAUUGCUCUGUAUAGAUUUAUUUUGUUCUCUGGUUCAAUAGGAUUCGCCUAUAAUCUGUAUUAGUGAUUUUGAGGCAUUUUUGUUAGCGAAUCAUUGUUGUACAGAGAGUAUUUGUGAGGGUUUGAGGAUGUAAUCUCCGAUUUAUCUCUUUAGUGUAGUGAGUUCUUCUCAUCAGAGCUCAACGUGAACGUAACCUUAUUUUGGGUGAACCACGGUAAAAAUCCUUGUCUCCCUUUGUUGUUUCGUUUCAUUUUUGUGUAUGUUUGUUAUCGUGCUUCCUAUCUUUGCUAUUUUCAAUCUAUGAUUGAACAUAUACUGAUAUUACCCUAAGGUUUAUCUUGUCAGUUCUCAACAGAAAGAUUUGGAAAUUAAGUUUGGUGGUGAACUAAGAUAGAUGUCAAUCCUGGUUUUUGGCGGUGGAGCCUAUCGCACUUCCACCAUAUCAUCAAUACACACACCAAUAUUGACACCGAAGGCAAUUUGGUUAUCAUCCCCCCAUAGCUUCUCCCUAUCCCAAAUAAUUCUUUUAGUGAUCAUUCCUCAAACUCCCUUGAGUACUCAUUGUGCGUUUAGACCUAAAUUGGAUCAAUAACCUGCCAAUAGAUGUCUUCUACAGUUCUAAUGCACCAUUCUGUUAUUUCUUUAUGUCAUUGAAAAAUAAAAGGAUACUUUGAGCUUGUUUUGUUAAUGUCUCGAACCUGAUCUAUUGAAUGUAAGGCGCUUUUGUUUAGCUGCACCUGGCAGUUUUGUUUGAAGAAGGGGGAGACUGCAUGGUAUUCACUGGUACCUCGAUGCAACUGUCAGGAGUUGAUUUUUGUACAAAAGCAGAACAUGUAGUUGUAUUCUACUACUUGAAAUUAGAGCAGUCCAGAAACAAGAGAGUUAUCUGUGUGUGGUACCAAUGCAAACGUUGAUUCUUUUCAGGAGUAGAAAGUAACUCUCGAGUCGGAGAGGUAGUAACAAUGGUCAAUUACUUGCAGAGGCAGUUGCUUGUUUAUACAUUCUACGAUUUGGUACAUUUUACCCUGUAUAUCAAAUGCUGAAUUUUGAAUCUUCCUAAGAUAAUAUAAUGUCCAUUGUUCUUGCCUUAUCUCUUUUGGUGCAUAAUAUUCUCUUUGAAGAGUCAAAGAGCCCUUCUUUUUCUUUUUGGUAUGUAUUUAUAGUUAUCAUGCCAUAAAAUGGCUCUGAAUUUACAGCAUAUAUCAUCCAAUGCUAUAAAUUUGUAUAUUUGCCCAAAUAUCUUUUGUCAUGUCAAAAAAAAAAAAAAACAAAAAAAAAAAAAAAAAACAAAAAACGAAGGGCUCCAACAGUGGCAGCAAAUGCUCAAAAUGUUUUAAGUUAAGCUACUUGGUCUGAAAACCAGCAACUUCCCCAAGUUCUUCAACCUUUGUUGCUAAUAAUUCAACCUUUUUAACCAUCUCCAUCAUUAAGAACACAGAGCUGGCCGCAGCAAGUCCACCAUGGUCAUCUGCUUCUAGCUUGUAAGGAGAACUGACCCGGCUAAGCUCUAGUUUCAUUGACUGCAAUUUUGGUGCUAUCAGCGCUUUGGGCUUGCACCUUUCCAUCUUCAUGAUACUCUCUCCAAGCUCUCUCAGAAUCCAUCCGAGCAGCGACCCUACUGCCUCACAUGGUUCUUGAAUUGACUGUCUUAAAGCUGAGGAAGGCUGUUGAUGAAAUUUGAAUAAAUGUUAACCAUAAUAUUAUAUAUCCAUCAAAAAGUGUGUAGGCGUCUGAUCCAGACCUGUAAAGAUGAUUGAAGACACCCUUCCAGCGCAAUAAUGGAAAUAGCAAGCUCUCUAAGAACAUUGCCAAUUUCUAGGUACUUGUCCCAGGGAUAGAAAAGUCCAAAUCUUCCAUGCCAAGGUUCCCAUCUAGCAAAGUUCGCCUGAAGGAUACAACCCGACCCUUGUAAGCUACUCAGUUGAGAUCCUUAUCAUUGAUUAAAAGAGGCUUAUAAUUAUGAAGCAACCAUUAGGGGUUCAAAUUCUUUAUACAUAAAUAGUUCCAGUGCUGUUAUACAAAUCUUUUACUCAUUUAGCUUGUGUGGCAUAAUGAGCUAACAAGAAUAUACCAGUGAUUCCUCGUUGGCCUUUGAAUAUAACAAUGAUUUGCAACUGGUGAAUUGGGCACUGCACUGGCUUUCCUUCUCAUCGACUGGUUUGAAAUACUCUUCCAGGCAUCCUACAUUGAUCAGCAAAAGUGUUGCAGAUUAUUGCUCUACUUUCUACUUCAAAGAUGUACAAUAUUUGAUUAUUUUAAGUUGAAAAGUGGAGAAAGAUGAUCAAUUUUUUGGAAAAAUUAAAUGAAAAGAAUUAUCAAUUCUUGAAGUUAUUCAGAAGCUUCAAACUAGAUUCCGAUCUUUUGCAUAUGACUAAAGCUUAAGAAUUUGAGGUUCUUAUUUUUCUUGAAAGCGUUGAAGAUGUGAAUCAAAAAUCUUCACUUAAUUGAGGACUUACCUUCAACACAGGAAGCAAGCUUUUCGAACUUGGAGGCCAAAGAGUUAUGAAGCUCAUCACUAGCCCAGAUGGGGAACAGGAGCAAACUUGUGAAGAUGCAGAUAGUGAACCCCAUACCGAUAGUUGAGAGCCGUUCACGGGCUAGAUUCAUGAUCUUUUCAGCUCGCAAACCAGAUACCACUACCAGGUUGAAGGUAAGAAUGAAAAUCAAGGCUGCAUAUUCGUAUCUCCUUUUAAUGGUUGGAACGUAUCGGAAGUAUGCUGCAGCUGCACC